CAUAAAAAUACCAACCUGCCCCCACAGCAUAAAGAUAAGCCACUGACAAGGGCCAAAAGAAGUUUUUCGCUUCUAGAAAAAGAAUACUUUCUCACAGAAUGGCUAUUCAAUCUACUUUUCACUCAAAAACUGGCAUUUUUUAUCUGUUAAUGUAACGCGAUUUUCGAAAGACCUGGAAAAGGGGAUAUCUUAUUUUAGUAUAUCAAACUCGGGAACCUCGCAAGAACAAGCGAUUUGAUUGGUUGAGAAACUCGGGAUAAAAUGCAAUAUAUACCUCCAAGGAGGUAAAUAUUUUCCUGCGCCACGAAAUCAAGCAAAAUGGCGUGUGUAACAGCCGAUAUGCAAGUGUUUCCGAAAAGAAAAUUGCUCUAAAGCUCGUCAAAAGGCGGAUAGUGGCUUUAAAAAUAUAUACCUCGAGCCUUCGGCUCUCGGGUAGAUAUUUCGCCAGUAUCCACCUUAAUGGAAAUUGUAUAAUUGUGAAAGGAUCUAUCUUGUUAUUUCAUUUUUUUUUUCUUUUCAGAGAUCAGCUCUGAAGAGCUACCUGUGCAAGGAUCGUCCAGAUUGAUAACCAUGAUUUCAUAAUUCCUGUUAGCUGACUUUAUUCCCUUGACAAAUUACCGCAGAGCAAACCUAUUUAUCCGUACCGGUAUUUUAAGAAAGGUGUCGCAUGCCUUCUUAACGGGGAGAUUACUACGACUGUAACACAGCACUAAGACAAUCCAUUUGAACGGCGUCUAGUGUAGCGCGAUCAAAUUGCUUGUUACAUCGUGCGACAUUCGCAAUUCUCACGUAUUUCUAAAUGCAGUUGUCAAGUCAUUUCCACCAAGUAACGACACUUUCAAAGCUACCAAAUAAGGCUGUUAUCGAGAAAAAAAAAACACGCGUUUAUCUACCGAUCGCAAAGUUUCAUUACUAGAACACGUCCACUUGUCGAGACUUUAGAAAACAUGACCUCAGAUCCCUAAAACAACAAAAGGGUAAUAAUAAAAAAAUACCACGAAGAUAACACGUCAUAUUACAAAAAUAAUUAAGUUUUCUAUACACUCGACAAGGUGCCAAAGAAAUUCUUUUUUGAAGUAGAUUGUGGUUUUGGUUGCAACUUCGCGCUAUUUCUCCCAGUUUCCGUGGUGUAAAACUAGUAGCGCAUUCUCUGGACGCUUCAAAAUAUCGCUUGUAAGACCAUAGAUAGCACAUGUCAGAGCUUGCUAAGUGACAGGCCUUUUAAGUGACGCUUAUAUGUUAGGGAGGAACGGAAUGCGUCACGGCCCUGGGUUGUUGACGUAACGACGCGGGGAGACCGUAUAAAUAUAGCGAGUGUUCACUUUCCACAAGCUAAAAUCAUUAACAAGUGGGCAAAAACGACAAGGCUGCACCGGAACAAAAAGGUACAUUGGGAGAAACGUCUAAAGUUUAAAGGACUAAAACAAAGAUGAAACUACAGAUUGCUAUCCUGAUUGGCUGUCUCCUAGCAACGCUACCAUGUGACCUGGCUGGACCAAUAAAGACUUCAUCUGCGUGUUACCGCUGCUACAAGAACUGUCAGCAAAAAGCGUUGGACACGUGUUAUUUCAAAUGCAUUGAGGCCCCUAUAAGGAUAACUGUAAUGUGCCAUGAAACGUGUCUAGUUACAGAGGUCGAAGAUUGUAUGAAGAAUGGAGACUGCAAAACAGAAAAGUUAUCGGUUGGCGGAAAAUACUGAAUGAAACUAGACAAGAGGGAAUAAAACACGAGAAAAGAACAGUGUAAAUUUAAACAAAUCUCAAUUCAAGCAAUUUUUUGUUAGCUGAAGUUGCGUCUUAGUAGUUUUUGUUUUCUCAUUCCUGCAACCUUACACAACCAAACCUCCAGUUAACGCCCUCUUCAGUUUCUGCUUGCGUUAUUAGCUGCAUUUUUGAAUUUAUCAAUAUUUAACAAAAUCACACAGCCAUUUACUAUACGUGAAUUAUUCCUACGAGAAUUAUAAGUCAACACUUUUGCCUCUUCUUUUUUCUAAUUUUGACCAAAAAACAACACAUAUAAAAAAUCGCUUCAAAGACGACAGUGUUACUUUUCGAAAAGGCUUCCUUUUAUCCAAACAAAAGCAAGGCUGUAAUAUAAAAUCAAUAACAAAAUUCGUUUCAAUGUUUAAAAAAACGUACAUUUCAUCAUUCGUAAAGUGUAUAUCACGUAAUCAAUAACUACUUUCAAAAAAAGUAUUUUAUUAAAACGAUAAAAUCUG